rnacentral:tRNA from 1 species
UCCCAGGUAGCUAAGCUGGUAAAGAAGAAUCUGCCUGCAAUGCAGGAGAUUCUGGUUCAAUUCCUGGGUUGGGAA